UGGACAUGGAGGCAACUCUGAUCCAGCCAUGCCGCGUGAAGGAAGACGGCCUUAUGGGUUGUAAACUUCUUUUAUACAGGAAGAAACCUUUCCACGUGUGGAAAGCUGACGGUACUGUAAGAAUAAGGAUCGGCUAACUCCGUGCCAGCAGCCGCGGUAAUACGGAGGAUCCAAGCGUUAUCCGGAAUUAUUGGGUUUAAAGGGUCCGCAGGCUGUUUGUUAAGUCAGAGGUGAAAUCCUACCGCUCAACGGUAGAACUGCCUUUGAUACUGGCAAACUUGAGUUAUUGUGAAGUAGUUAGAAUGUGUAGUGUAGCGGUGAAAUGCAUAGAUAUUACACAGAAUACCGAUUGCGAAAGCAGAUUACUAACAAUGUACUGACGCUGAGGGACGAAAGCGUGGGUAGCGAACAGGAUUAGAUACCCUGGUAGUCCACGCCGUAAACGAUGGUCACUAGCUGUUUGAUGUACAUUGGUACAUUGAGUGGCUAAGCGAAAGUGAUAAGUGACCCACCUGGGGAGUACGCUCGCAAGAGUGAAACUCAAAGGAAUUGACGGGGGCCCGCACAAGCGGUGGAGCAUGUGGUUUAAUUCGAUGAUACGCGAGGAACCUUACCAGGACUUAAAUGUAAGUUGCAUGAUUCAGAAAUGGAUCUUUCUUCGGACUACUUACAAGGUGCUGCAUGGUUGUCGUCAGCUCGUGCCGUGAGGUGUCAGGUUAAGUCCUAUAACGAGCGCAACCCCUAUCGUUAGUUGCCAUCAAGUAAAGUUGGGAACUCUAGCGAAACUGCCGGUGCAAACCGUGAGGAAGGUGGGGAUGACGUCAAAUCAUCACGGCCCUUACGUUCUGGGCUACACACGUGCUACAAUGGCCGGUACAGAAAGCAGCCACUAUGCGAAUAGGAGCUAAUCUUCAAAGCCGGUCUCAGUUCGGAUCGCAGUCUGCAACUCGACUGCGUGAAGCUGGAAUCGCUAGUAAUCGGAUAUCAGCCAUGAUCCGGUGAAUACGUUCCCGGGCCUUGUACACACCGCCCGUCAAGCCAUGGAAGCUGGGGGUACCUAAAGUCGGUGACCGAAAGGAGCCGCCUAGGGUAAAACUAGUAACUGGGGCUAAGUCGUAACAAGGUAGCCGUACCGGAAGGUGCGGCUGGAAUACCUCCUUUCU
rnacentral:rRNA from 1 species